rnacentral:rRNA from 1 species
GAUGAACGCUGGCGGCGUGCCUAAUACAUGCAAGUAGAACGCUGAAGGAAGGAGCUUGCUCUUUCCGGAUGAGUUGCGAACGGGUGAGUAACGCGUAGGUAACCUGCCUGGUAGCGGGGGAUAACUAUUGGAAACGAUAGCUAAUACCGCAUAACAGUAGAUGUUGCAUGAUAUCUACUUAAAAGGUGCAAUUGCACCACUACCAGAUGGACCUGCGUUGUAUUAGCUAGUUGGUGAGGUAACGGCUCACCAAGGCGACGAUACAUAGCCGACCUGAGAGGGUGAUCGGCCACACUGGGACUGAGACACGGCCCAGACUCCUACGGGAGGCAGCAGUAGGGAAUCUUCGGCAAGGGACGGAAGUCUGACCGAGCAACGCCGCGUGAGUGAAGAAGGUUUUCGGAUCGUAAAGCUCUGUUGUAAGAGAAGAACGAGUGUGAGAGUGGAAAGUUCACACUGUGACGGUAUCUUACCAGAAAGGGACGGCUAACUACGUG